rnacentral:tRNA from 1 species
GGCCGGUGCAGGGGGCGGGCGUCCCCCGCGGACUGCAAACCCGUCGGGUCCGACGAACCAUCGGAUCGCUCGGUUCGACUCCGAGGCCGGCCUCCA